rnacentral:rRNA from 1 species
AACGAACGCUGGCGGCAGGCUUAACACAUGCAAGUCGAGCGGGGCCUUCGGGCUCAGCGGCGGACGGGUUAGUAACGCGUGGGAACGUGCCCUUUGCUUCGGAAUAGCCCUGGGAAACUGGGGGUAAGACCGGAUGUGCCCUGAGGGGGAAAGAUUUAUCGGCGAGGGAUCGGCCCGCGUUGGAUGAGGUAGUUGGUGGGGUACCGGCCCACCAAGCCGACGAUCCAUAGCUGGUCUGAGAGGAUGAUCAGCCACACUGGGACUGAGACACGGCCCAGACUCCUACGGGAGGCAGCAGUGGGGAAUAUUGGACAAUGGGCGCAAGCCUGAUCCAGCCAUGCCGCGUGAGUGAUGAAGGCCUUAGGGUUGUAAAGCUCUUUCACCGAUGAAGAUAAUGACGGUAGUCGGAGAAGAAGCCCCGGCUAACUUCGUGCCAGCAGCCGCCGUAACAC